rnacentral:piRNA from 1 species
UUUCAUUAGUAUUCCGUCGUC